UAGUAUUAGAGUCUUUUGUAGAAUUCUAGCUUCGUUCCAUUGCUUUCACAUUGGCCAGCAGUCAGAAACCUAGUUACAAAUAUCCUCCACGCAGUCCCUGGGUGAGGGCUCCUGGGGACAAUGGUUAGGACUCAGGAGAGGGUGGAGUUUUUGCACAGAUGUCUGCCCCACCCAGCUCAGUGUGACACUCCAGGCACAGAGAUAGAAGCCUGAGUCACUGAGGAGGAGCUUCUUAGAACUCAGGAUGAACCGCCUGUCCUGGGGCCUGGAGGCUGAGAGAUUCUGGGGCACCUCAGAGCUGAUCUGGUCAACACCAAUGGAGUAGAAGAGCAGCUGGAGGCCCCUGCCUGCAGCCUGUCGGUACCAGUAUAGGUUGGGGUUUGAUGUUCCCUCCACAGUGCACUCCAGAGAAAGCGGGCUGCCCGCAGGCUGCACCAGGGUCGCUGGCCAUUGAUGAACAGUCUGAGAUCUGACCCCUGUGGGAAAGAUAAAUUGCCAUUUUCAGAGAUGUGCCCUAGCCUGGCUUGCCUUCCCCAGACAGAGGGGCAGCUCAAGCUCUUGCAUGGCACAGGCACCUGGAAUCCAUCAUGGGGAGUAGACCGGGGGAUCCAAGGAUGCAAAGUAUCACUGGGCCAGGGAAGACCAACAGAACAAACUCCUUCCCAGUAGACAGACAGAACCAAGAAUCAUCAGAUCAGCCCUUAAGGCUGAAGCCCCAUAUCUGUUCCAGACAAUCAGAGGAAUAGACUCAGGAGUGUCAAACCAACAGCUCAGACUCUGCAUUCACGGGAUUGCGGUGAGGGUGAGGAUGAGAAAAGAGGCUUGCCGGAGAGGAGGGCACCCACCGAAGAAAGUGCCCAGGAGAAGGGCAAGGGGAGAGCAGAGCAUCAUCCAAGCCAGCCUUUCCUUCAGCUAGUCUGGGGGACAGACGCCUCCUCUUCUGGGCCAGUGACGUGGUCAGGCCGCUCCCUCUGGGAGAUCUGCUGCCAGAGCAGAGGAAUCUACCCCUUGAGCUGGGGAGGAAACGAGGCUAGUCUUGUUUUAAGAGUGUGGUGAAUCACCCCCGGCCUCCCUGGGAACCAGCUGUACUCUGCACUUGGUAUCUUCUUUGCAUUUCUGCUGACAUCCUGGAAAGGGAUGAGAGAGAAGUGGAGAGAGAAGAAAUGGAAAUUCAAAAGUUUUGACGGCAGAGGAAAAUUGUGCUUAUUUCCAGAACGAGAUGAACAAGGUCCUGGGUCCCUACAUGUCAUACUGGCUAGAGACUGAAUUUCCUGGGUUGCUGUGCACACAAGAGGGACCCAAGCAGAGCACAGCACCCUGAAAUUCUUACUGAGCUGCGGACACAGCUUAGAGAAGAGGAGGCCAUGCACGGAAAGAGCCCCACAAUUUUCAUGCAGUCUCAUUGAAUCUUUGGCCACUGCCAUCCUCAUUAUAGCCCCAGACAAUUCAGCUCUUGACAGUGUAUCCAGCGAAACAAAAGUGUAACAGCAGAUCAGCCCCACUUGGAAAGCAGGUGCAUAGCCACGUCUUUCUAUACAAGCUCAGUCCUUCCUGAAGUUGCCCUCUCACCUACUCCCCUACAUCAAAAGUGACUCAUCAAAGUAUUCAGUAGACAAAAUUAGUCUCUAUCCAGGGAGAAUUCGCUACUUGGAAAAUAAGAUGUUCUCUUUCUCAUUACAUACAAAAAAAAAAAGUUGAUAAAAUCACAGAAUUCAGUUUGAGAGAGAGGAAGAUACUAAAUGUCAUUUGGCGUUCUGACCUUGAAGUCACAUUGAGUCCAAUUCAAUCAGAAAAUUGCAAGUGAAAAACUGGAUUUUUAAUGAAACACCAGGACUAGAAAUACUGACUUUGGGGGUCAUCUGCCGAGAGAAAAUAGCUGAAAUAUUUGGAAUGGAUGAGAUCUCCAAAGCAACAAGUGAAGAAAAAGGAACAAAGAUCCAAAAAUAAAAAUUGUUGAACAUCCACGCUUAUAGGUAAAAGGAGGGGAGAAGUAAGCUUAAGAAAUUAAGAAAGUAGUUCUAGAGGGAAGACAAGAAAUGGGAUGGUAUCUUGGAAGUUCAGAGAAGACUGUGGGUACAAAGAGGUGGCAGCAGGAUUUAAAAGAACUUUAAAAAUUCAGUAAAAUUAGGACUGAAUGACCUCACUGAUGUCGUUGACUACAGGAGGUGAGAGUACCAGAUUCAGAGCACUCAUUUGACAAGUUUAGGAGCAGAGCGAGCAAGGGAGAGGUUAAAGGGAAUGGUAGAGUUGAAUACGGUCUUUUAUUCCAACAUACUUACAGUCUGAUUAUAUAGAAAGCCAAGAGGAAGAACUAUAUAAAGACAGGAAAAUUGAAGAUGCUAAAGAAAGAAGAUAUUUGAGAAACAAAGAGGCACGCGGAUUAAUUCUUGGGCAUCUAGAAAGGGGAACUUUUUUCCUCUGAAAUAGGAAAAGAAAAGAAAAUGCAUAAAAGAUAGACCUGCACUGAGGAAGGCCAACAUACAUACAGACAGAGGCUAGAUCUAAUGAUCAGUUGAAUGUAAUACUUUUAAAAACCCACCAUUUCACCCAUCAGACUGGCAUAAUUAAAAGACUCAAUAAUAUCUGAUGUUGGCAAGCAUGUAGGGGAAUCACAUGCUCUCAUGCACAGCUGGAAAGUAAACUGCAACAGUCUUUGUGGAGCGUAAUUUGGCAAUGUUUAUUAAAACUGCACAUGGCCGGGUGCCGUGGCUCACGCCUGUAAUCUGAACACUUUAGGAAGCCAAGGCGGGCAGAUCAUGAGGUCAAGAGA